ensembl:lncRNA
CGACACAUCUGUAAUUGCACACUCUCUGCAUCCAGCUCUCCCGUCUGCCGACUCUCCUCUCGCCAAUCGCUCUUCCUUUGUCUUUUUUAAAACAUGGAGAUAAUCACAAUGAUGAUUUCUUGCAGCUGAGGCCAAUUGCCUCCACCUGGCACAGUUCCCUGAGCCACUCCCCCUUUCUUUCCCCUCUGCAGCAGAGCCAAAACCACUCCCGCCACCAUAAUGAGUUAGGAAAAGAAAUAGCCAUAAUAAAGUAGGGUAUGUCAAAAUCUGAGUGUGUAUAGACAAGUUUCCUGAGUGAAAUAAGCGGGCCGCCAUUGGCCUUUCACUCUGCCAACGACUUCCGGUUGUGUCUGCAAAGCACUUCCGGUUAGCGAGUUAGCGUCUUUUACGGUCUUUGGUUAGCGUGCAGAAAAAGUAAACUAUGGAUGGUGUUACACGCCGACACGGCUCCGGGACAUAUUGUGCUGUUCACGGUUGCAACAACUCGUGCCGAUUGCUGAAUGUUUGGUCGGAAGGAGAAUGUUUCGACCAUCAACCAUCUACAAGACAAGUCCCCAUGCGUCCUUCCACAAGAUGCUCCUUCAAAUAAGCAAAUAAGUGCUGUUCAGUAUCCAAACACUGGCGAUCACAUAACGCUGCAGUGCAUUUAAAUGCCAAGCAUCACCAGCACACUGACAGCUGACUCCAACGGUUUGCCACUGAACAGAUGCACAAUGUUGUCAGCUGACGCUGAAAUUGGUUAAAAAGUUCGUCACAGACUGGCCGCUGUCAGUCAGUCAACUUCAAGGCCACUUACCCUUCAUAUCAUAUUCUGGUGUAUUGCUGUUUUAAGUAAGAGGUUCUUUACAAUUAACAGUGAGAAACUGUUUUCAUUACAAAGCAUGACUAUAAAUACAGUGCUGGCUGUUAAGUGUAUAUGUUUUAUCUCCAUUGGCACCACAAUGGUGUGUAAUCAAAGGUAAUUCAUGUCAAAAUCAGAAUAUUGAAUGAUUUACAGAUUACGGUGCAUUCCUGUUGUAUGUACAAUUACUAGGACAAUUAAGUGAUAAAAUGUAUUCAUUAUAUGAUAUGAAUGCCAAAACCAUUCUCUGUGGUGACAUUUACAGUGCUUCACUGUCAAAUAAACUUAAUUUAACAGAUUUCAAUUUAAAAGUCUUGUCGGGAUAGUUUUUCAUCGUAAUUAGAAACUAAAGUGUAGUUAAAUGUUGAUAAUGUAAUGUUUGUAUAAUGUAUCACCUGUUUAA